rnacentral:rRNA from 1 species
UACAGAGGGUGCAAGCGUUAAUCGGAAUUACUGGGCGUAAAGCGCACGUAGGCGGCUUGGCAAGUUGGAUGUGAAAUCCCCGGGCUCAACCCUGGAAUUGCCUCCAAAACUGUGCUGCUUGAGUUCGGAAGAGGAGAGUGGAAUUCCCAGUGUAGAGGUGAAAUUCGUAGAUAUUGGGAAGAACACCAGUGGCGAAGGCGGCUCUCUGGUCCGAUACUGACGCUGAGGUGCGAAAGCGUGGGGAGCAAACAGG